UCCCUUAGUUCUGCUCGGAUCCUGUUAUAACCCGGUGUUUUCGUAAUCUAGGUGACCCAAAUAACACGCUGGUAUACUUAGUUUGAUUUCGAAAAAAAUCAAUUUUUGGUGAAAAAAUUCGAUACGGGGGGGUAUACCCGAAAAAUGAAAAAACCCAAACUUUAAAGGUCGAUAUCUCAGCUUCUAUGGGAGCUAUCGGGAAAAUUCCGACGGUUUUGUCUUAGUUUCGUCAUUUUGAAUUCAACGAGACCAUCCGCAAGGUCGCAGCUCUUACGAUAGCCGAGAUAUGGCAUUUUUGAUGCCCAUUUUUGGCCUCAAAAACGGACGUCGAAAACGACUUUUUUAGGAUUUUCAAAGUGCUCUCAUUCCCUUAGUUCUGCUCGGAUCCUGUUAUAACCCGGUGUUUUCGUAAUCUAGGUGACCCAAAUAACACGCUGGUAUACUUAGUUUGAUUUUGAAAAAAAUCAAUUUUUGGUGAAAAAAUUCGAUACGGGGGGGUAUAUCCGAAAAAUGAAAAAACCCAAACUUUGAAGGUCGAUAUCUCGGCUUCUAUGGGAGCUAUCGGGAAAAUUCCGACGGUUUUGUCUUAGUUUCGUCAUUUUGAAUUCAACGAGACCAUCCGCAAGGUCGCAGC